GCAUUGGUGGUUCAGUGGUAGAAUUCUCCCCUCACGCGCGAGUGACCGGGUUUGAUUCCCGGCUAAUGCA